UAGAGUUUGAUCCUGGCUCAGAUUGAACGCUGGCGGCAGGCCUAACACAUGCAAGUCGAGCGGUAACACAGAGGAGCUUGCUCCUUGGGUGACGAGCGGCGGACGGGUGAGUAAUGCCUGGGGAUCUGCCCGAUAGAGGGGGAUAACUACGGGAAACUGUAGCUAAUACCGCAUAAUGUCUACGGACCAAAGUGGGGGCUCUUCGGACCUCAUGCUAUCGGAUGAACCCAGGUGGGAUUAGCUAGUUGGUGAGGUAAUGGCUCACCAAGGCGGCGAUCUCUAACUGGUUUGAGAGAAUGACCAGUCACACUGGAACUGAGACACGGUCCAGACUCCUACGGGAGGCAGCAGUGGGGAAUAUUGCACAAUGGGCGCAAGCCUGAUGCAGCCAUGCCGCGUGUGUGAAGAAGGCCUUCGGGUUGUAAAGCACUUUCAGCGGGGGGGAAGGGUCACUAGUUAAUACCUAGUGGCAUUGACGUUACUCGCAGAAGAAGCACCGGCUAACUCCGUGCCAGCAGCCGCGGUAAUACGGAGGGUGCAAGCGUUAAUCGGAAUUACUGGGCGUAAAGCGCACGCAGGCGGUUUGUUAAGUCAGAUGUGAAAUCCCCGAGCUCAACUUGGGAACUGCAUUUGAAACUGGCAAGCUAGAGUCUUGUAGAGGGGGGUAGAAUUCCAGGUGUAGCGGUGAAAUGCGUAGAGAUCUGGAGGAAUACCGGUGGCGAAGGCGGCCCCCUGGACAAAGACUGACGCUCAGGUGCGAAAGCGUGGGGAGCAAAAAGGAUUAGAUACCCUGGUAGUCCACGCUGUAAAC
rnacentral:rRNA from 1 species